rnacentral:rRNA from 1 species
UUAAUUCCGGUUGAUCCUGCCGGACCCGACUGCUAUUUGGGUGAGGAUAAGCCAUGCGAGUUGAAUGGGAUACCUAAAGUUCCCAUGGCAAACUGCUCAGUAACACAUGAUCAACUUGCCCUAUAGAGAAAAAUAACCUCGGGAAACUGAGGAUAAUGUUUCAUAACUGAAUUGGCUUGGAAAAGUUUUUCAGUGAAAGGGAUAAAAUAAAUGGUUUUUAUCUGCUAUAGGAUAGGAUCGUGUUCGAUUAUGGUUGUUGGUGAGGUAAUGGCUCACCAAGCCGAUAAUCGAUAGGGGCCGUGAGAGCGGGAGCCCCGAGAUGGGUACUGAGACAACGACCCAGGCCUUACGAGGCGCAGCAGGCGCGAAACCUCCGCAAUACACGAAAGUGUGACGGGGUUACCCAAAGUGUUCAAUUUUGAACUGUGGUAGGUGAGUAAUGUUCCCUACUAGAAAGGAGAGGGCAAGGCUGGUGCCAGCCGCCGCGGUAAAACCAGCUCUUCAAGUGGUCGGGAUAAUUAUUGGGCUUAAAGUGUCCGUAGCCGGUUUAGUAAGUUCCUGGUAAAAUCGGGUAGCUUAACUAUCUAUAUGCUAGGAAUACUACUAUACUAGAGGGCGGGAGAGGUCUGAGGUACUACAGGGGUAGGGGUGAAAUCUUAUAAUCCUUGUAGGACCACCAGUGGCGAAGGCGUCAGACUGGAACGCGCCUGACGGUGAGGGACGAAAGCCAGGGGAGCGAACCGGAUUAGAUACCCGGGUAGUCCUGGCCGUAAACGAUGCAUACUAGGUGAUGGCACGGCCAUGAGCCGUGUCAGUGCCGUAGGGAAACCGUUAAGUGUGCCGCCUGGGAAGUACGGUCGCAAGGCUAAAACUUAAAGGAAUUGGCGGGGGAGCACCACAAGGGGUGAAGCCUGCGGUUCAAUUGGACUCAACNNNNNNNNNNGUGAGGUAUCCUGUUAAGUCAGGCAACGAACGAGAUCCGCACCUUUAUUUGCCACCAAGAAGUCACGACUUCGUUGGGAACACUAAAGGGACCGCCGUCGAUAAGACGGAUGAAGGAGCGGGCAAAGGCAGGUCAGUAUGCCCCGAAACCCCUGGGCUACACGCGGGCUGCAAUGGUAUGAACAAUGGGCUGUGACUCCGAAAGGAGAAACCAAUCCCGAAAUCAUAUCUCAGUUGGAAUUGUCGGCUGUAACCCGCCGACAUGAACGCGGAAUCCCUAGUAAUCGUGUGUCAUCAUCGCACGGUGAAUACGUCUCUGCUCCUUGCACACACCGCCCGUCGCUCCAUCCGAGUGUGCUAAAAAUGAGGUUUGGUCAAAUUGGUCAUAUCGAGUUUCUAGUACGCGAGGAGGGAGAAGUCGUAACAAGGUAGCCGUAGGGGAACCUGCGGCUGGAUCACCUCCUAU